UACAGGGGGUGCAAACGUUGCUCGGAAUCAUUGGGCGUAAAGCGCACGUAGGCGGUUCGUUAUGUCGGAUGUGAAAGCCCUUGGCUUAACCGAGGAAGUGCAUCCGAAACUGGCGAGCUAGAGUACUAAAGAGGAGUCGCGGAAUUCCCGGUGUAGAGGUGAAAUUCGUAGAUAUCGGGAGGAACACCGGUGGCGAAGGCGGCGAUCUGGGUGAGAUACUGACGCUGAGGUGCGAAAGCGUGGGGAGCAAACAGG
rnacentral:rRNA from 1 species